rnacentral:rRNA from 1 species
UACGUAGGGUGCGAGCGUUAAUCGGAAUUACUGGGCGUAAAGCGUGCGCAGGCGGUUUUGUAAGCCAGAUGUGAAAUCCCCGGGCUUAACCUGGGAAUGGCAUUUGGGACUGCAAGGCUGGAGUGUGGCAGAGGAGACUGGAAUUCCUGGUGUAGCAGUGAAAUGCGUAGAUAUCAGGAGGAAUACCGAUGGCGAAGGCAGGUCUCUGGGUUAACACUGACGCUCAUGCACGAAGGCGUGGGGAGCAAACAGG